rnacentral:rRNA from 16 species
GUCGGGAUGCUUGGGAAUGCAUCCCUAAGUGGGUGGUAAGUCCCAUCUAAAGCUAAAUACGGGCAAGAGACCGAUAGCGAACAAGUACUGUGAAGGAAAGAUGAAAAGAACUUUGAAAAGAGAGUUAAAAGUACCUGAAACCGCUAAGGGGGAAGCAAAGGCCGCC